CUAAUGCAUUUACGAUUAACUUACGACCAACAGUUUGUGUCGUAAAGUUAUGUCUGAUUUACGACUAAUAUGUCUAGUCGUAAUAUUACGACCAAUAUGCCUCUAAUAAUUAAUUACAAUCAGCUUCUAACGACCAAUCAAUUUUUGAAGUUAAUUGGUCGUAAUGCCCAUAUUACGACCAACUAGCUACUAAUAUUGUAGUCGUUUUAUUUUAUUUUAGAAUCUAUCUAUAUAUAAAAAACAAUUUUAGCCUCCCUUCUGUUGCGCCACCUAGGAUUCCAGAUCAGAAAGUCAAGCUCUCUGGAUGUGACACAUGUCCCAGUCGAACCAAACUUACCGUUUAAUUUAUUCUGAAAAAUCUGAUGGGCUGUUAUUUAUUUGGCUUGAAAAUACUUUGUUAUCUUCUAGUACGUAACCCCUCAUCCUAGAAAGCUUUCUCUCUGUAAAGUUGUAUCUGCCGUUAAGGUUCAUCCUCUCCUGCAAAAAUCCUUAGGUCUCAUAUUUAUGGAGUUUUGAACUUUUCAGAGAGAUGAGUCUUCAUCGAUAAACAUGUGUAUGUGUCUUCUGGCAUCGUUUCGUAUGUGUUUAUUCUCCGCAGAAGCGUUACGAGUUCAUAGAUCCAUCACUCAACAUCAUGGAUCUCCACCUUUAAAAAGGUCCUUUAGCUUCUCAGAUUUUGGGAAGACAUAAACAUGAAACGCGGCGAGUUGAUGGGAAUCGACAUGAUCUUCGUUGAUGCUAAGUCGUCCCUAAUGCUAGCCACCGUGAAUUUUAACCGUCUCCCCACUUUACGACGCCGUCUCAAGGCUGGUGCUCUGUUCACCAAUAGCGGUUUCGUUAUGACACGGUGCAAUCAGAACUCCAGGCUAACCGACUCUUCUCUAACGAUUCGGUUCAGUGACUCAACCACAUUCGAUGAGUUAACCGAACCAGUCUCUCCAAUACUUUAAGAGCGGUUUUGGUUCCGCAACCACGUUUCGCUGCAUCGCUGCACGGCCUAGCCAGUGCAAACACACAUUCCAGGUACCUCCACUUACUAGCUUUUCCCUCACAGAUUAAUUAUUAUAACCGAUAAAUAAAAAGUCUGUUCAUUGACUCUCAAGACAUUGUUGGAGAGCUCACUGAUGUGAAGAGUUCAUUGAGUAACGCUCCGUAGGAAAACGAUGUGUUAUGGCAACGAUCAAUAUCAAUAAGUUACUAUCUCUUCAUAUGAAACAUUCAUCACUCUCAAAACAGAUCUAAAUUAUUCUUUACAUAUACGUUGAUGAGUUCAUAUUAUUGUAGUUAUGUAUUUGUGACAAUGAGUCUUUUUGAUUCGCAAGCAGUGUCGUUUCAUAACAAACUAGAAGUAUUUCAAGUUGAUCCAAGAGUUGUUGUUGUGACUAGCACUCAUAAGAUUGUAGGAGGUAUAUUUCUUACUGCAAUAACUCGAUAUGUUUGCGCUUUACAAUGAAACAUGUAUUUUGUCAAAUUUUUGUUUUAUAUAGAUGGACAACACGCACUAAGAGCACCAUUAAUGGAUGUGUUUAAGGGAGUGCUAAGGGGUGGACAGGGGUGGGCUCCACCAAGAAAGAGGAAGAUAUGGUGCCAAAACUGCCAAAUUAAACAUCAACGCUUGCACUAUUAUGCGGACUCCACUGACACGUGACGAUCCACGAUUGGUUUGUUUUAAAUUUUUUUUUUAACCAGUAAAAAUAAAUAAAAAAUAAACACUUCAUGGGUUAAAGAUGCUCUAACAAGUUCUCUGAAUAGACAUAAAAUCUUAUUUUUGUGGGACAUCUAUAUUUGAAUGCCACAUCAGCAGCAUAUGUAUAUUUCGAUAAGGAGACUGCUGCGGGAGGAUCUUAUUUUACACGUAAUCAGAUUGGGACCGACUUCACAUGCC